rnacentral:lncRNA from 1 species
GGGUUUCAGCCAAAUCGCCUCUCUCUAAGAAACCUAAUCGACCUCUGUAGUUGAUUUGCAUUUAAUCUCAUCAUUACUUCACUUCAUCUUCCUUCUCUGUGUUCAAUUCUCAUUAUAUCCCCAAGGCCCAAACAAAAGUCUUAGUUAGCAGACAGAAGCUACAAUGAGAAGAAGGUGCUGUCUUCAUCCUUUCAAAUUCCCAUCAUCAGCCCUUUAAUUUGGGAUUGAAGAUUCAUUUUAAGACGCUACAGGGUCAUUCUACUAUGACGAUGGUUGUUCGAUUAGGCACCUGAAGGUCAGCACACAUGUAUGGUUAGGGUUCAGCGGUGGUUGACAGUCUUCUACGAACAGCAAGGGGGUAGGGUUCUGACGAGUCGAACUUGACACGACGAUGGCAAUGGGUGUUGAAUGAUGAGAAAGGUUUAUUAUGCCACCAACUGCUUGAUGAAAUGUGUCAUCCACCUUUGCUGCAAUUGAAUGGCUUACUUAUGCCCACCAACUGCUCGAUGAAAUGUGUCAUCCACCUUUGCUGCAAUUUGUAUGUGCAGAUAUGUAAUUAUAUCAGCAGGUAUUGUCUUUUUAGUGAUGAUUCCAACCUAUUUCAAAGGUUGUUGAAACAUAUCAACCGGGUGUGAUCGUUCUCCAAUGCGGAGCAGAUUCGCUGGGGACCGCUUAGGCUGCUUCAACCUCUCUAUAGACGGACAUGCUGAAUGUGUUAGGAUUGUAAAAAAAAUUGGUUUGCCUCUGCUGGAACGGGAGGUGGAGGAUAUACCAAAGAGAACGUUGCCCGAUGCUGGACUGUUGAAACAUGAGAGCUUUUAGAUACAGAGCAGGCACUUCCUUCGACUAGCAGUCUGCAUCUAUUUUACACAGUGAUGAGUUCAUUCCUUUAUUCCGGGGAAGCACUAGAGUCAAACGUUUGGCUGAUGCUGGAAUGCUUAUGGACGCGUAAGAUCAAUAUAUGUUUAAGUUUCCAACCUCCGCUUCCGAAGACACACCAUCACUCAUCACCUACCACCACUCUCCUCAUCUACCCUUCCACCUUAGAAUCACCAACAUCACCUCCACGAACCUCCACCACAGUCGGACACAGGACACCGAUCACCGGGUUUCACUUAAAACUUUGAUCUUUUCUCGGUUUGUUAAAAAUGAGCUGGUGUACAUUUGCUAAGGGACAUGUAUGAGGGUGUUGUUACCUUCCAGGUACUUCAAAUUUGAGGAUAUUAACUAUUUUAGUGGUGAUGGUGGACAUAUGCAAAGGGACAUGUAUGAAUGUGUUGCUACCUUGCAGUUGCUGGUACUUCCAAUUAGAGGAAUUUAAGUACUGUUCAUAUUACAUCAUUUUUAUUGGUGAUUCUCACGACAAGGCUAUCAACAAGAUUAGUGGUGUCUUCAUGCAAUGUUUCACAUGCUUUGUUGAAUUUUGGUCAUAAACUAUCUACUUGUGAACUUGGUAGUUAAAAUGUUGUAAGCCGAUUCGAAUACCUAAAAUAUGCGUAAUCUUCGACGUAUAUGGAAGGAAGAACUCAGGAAAAGGAAUCUAAUGACCAAAGGAUUGAAAGAAAGUUGUAUGAAACUAUUCGUACUGAAUUAUAUGAGGCUAACCAAACUCAUAACAACGGUGUCUAAAAAAAAAAAAACGAUAUUGACCAGCCUGAUGAUGCAACAGUGGAGUCAAUUGUUUUAGAGAAAAUCACCAGCAUUAUGGAUGAAACCAGUGCCAAAAUGAGAUCUUGGAGAAACAUAACAAGACUGAAAAGUUGUAAAAAAUAAAAGAUAUUGUUGGGCUAUGGACUGGGGGAAUAUUAUUUUGAAUUAAGUAUGG